rnacentral:lncRNA from 1 species
AAUUAUAAACAUUUAUUAAGCACCAAGAAUAUACUGUGGUGGUUGCUAUAUGAAAACAUAAUUACCAAUAUAGUAUCCCUGCCAUUGAGCUUACAAUCUAAAACGAAAUACAAGGCUAUGAGCCUAUCUAAAAACUUCCUUAACUUAGAAAUGGCUACUUUGGCAAAUGAGUGAGGCAAAAUGACCUAUUAUUCAGGUGCAGUGCUAAUAAGGCUUUGAAUAUCAUCCAAAGAAUGUUUUACUUGUACCCAUUGUUCCUGAUUAUGUUACACUUGCUAAGAAAAACAGUACUUAGAAUUUUGGCAUGAACAAUGAAUUAUUUCAAAUUGUCUUGUAGGACUUUAAACAAAGAGAUGCUUACUGGCCUAAGUUUUCCAGCAGCCAGGGAAAGCCCUAUUAAAAAUAUUAUGAACUAGACCAAGUUUCUCUUUUAAUCCACUUACACUUUUUUUUUUUUUUUGAGACGGAGUCUUGCUCUGUCGCCCAGGCUGGAGUGCAGUGGUGCAAUCUCGGCUCACUGCAAGCUCCGCCUCCUGGGUUCAAGCCAUUCUCCUACCUCAGCCUCCCGAGUAGCUGGGACUACAAGCGCCCGCCACCACGCCUGGCUAAUGUUUUUUUUUGUAUUUUUAGUAGAGACGGGGUUUCACCUUGUUAGCCAGGAUAGUCUGGAUCUCCUGACCUCGUGAUCCGCCCCCCUCGGCCUCCCAAAGUGCUGGGAUUACAGGCAUGAGCCACCACGCCCGGCCCACUUACACUUUUUAAACUUCUUCCUCUUCUCCUAUACCUAAGGGCUCCAAUGAUACUACUUAUCAGGGAAGAAAGUACUGUAUCUAGAUAAACUACCCUUAAGUAUUACAGGCUUAGCAAGUUGAAUUUCUAGAAAAUACUCAUUCAUAAUUUAUUUAUUUAUUUUUUUUGAGACAGAGUCUUGCUCUGUUGCCCAGGCUGGAGUGCAGUGGCGUGAUCUUGGCUCACUGCAAGCUCUGCCUCCCGGGUUCCCACCAUUCUCCUGCCUCAGCCUCCCGAGUAGCUGGGACUGCAGGUGCCCGCCACCACGCCCGGCUAAUUUUUUUGUAGUAGAGAUGGGGUUUCAGUGGUAGCCAGGAUGGUCUUGAUCUCCUGACCUCGUGAUCCACCUGCCUCGACCUCCCAAAGUGCUGGGAUUACAGGUGUGAGGCACCGUGCCUGUCCACUAAUUCAUAUUUUAAAAGAGGACUGAGCAAAGACAGCAAUGGAACCUCUGGCUGCAGGAGAUGCCUGGGAGGUGGAGGUUGCAGUGAGCCAAGAUCACACCACUGCACUCCAGCCUGGGCGACAGAGCGAAACUCUGUC